CUUUUGUGCAAGAUAUUCCUUUCUGGAUGCGCUACUGUGUAACUCCAGAAUAUGAUUGAUCUUCCGCACAAUCUCCUCGGCCGUCACGGAGUCCGUCUCGAAAUCGUGAUUUUUGAACGAUGCAGAUUGAUGAAGCGAAUGACUUUGACCUGCAGCACCAUUAAAUGAAAACAUAUUUAUGAAAGGAAAGUUGCCUCACCUAGAAAACUAUCCGGAGCGUUCGACUGCGGGGUGUAAACUAGGGUGAACAUGGUUUUCGAUCCCUUAGUCUCUGUUACUUCACACCAAGCGAUAUUAUCUAUGUGGUAGCUGACCGCACGCUGCCGGUUCCAAAACCUGGCCGCGCCUUUACCCGUUAUCACCGGGUCUAUCUCUAUCUUCUCACCCGAUAUACCCAGACUAUCCCUGUUCUUAAGAGAUGAAGGUUGUAUAUGCUGUACAAUUUUUUUACAACUUGGUAUAAUGUUAUGUACAUUGCCAUCAAACUUGGCAUAUUCCUUGAAUGGAUUUUGAGGUGUGACAACAUUAGGAUUGUGCUCCCAUUUAACAUGUUUAACUUCAGCAGCCUUCUUCCUUUCUAUAUCCAUCUUCUCCAGUCUCUGUGCAGUGUUGGAUCUCUGUCUGUGAGUGAAUUCCAUAUCUAGAAGAAUGUUACAAGUGAACGGAUUUACAAUUUUAGGAAUUCUACUUAAAAGGUAACAUUGCAACAUUCCGUUUUCUUUCAUCUGCUUUGGAAUAUCUUCUCCCAGCAUUACCAUCUCACACAUGCCUUUGAAGCAAGAGUAACAGAAGGUUUAUCCGAUGCACACCUGUGUCAUCCGUAGCGAGAAAACUAUCUCUGAUGUGUGACAGGAGCCAGUGUUGAUUAUCGUAAAGGGCCAUUUUCCUUUUUUAAUUGAUCAAGAUCUGUCGGAUGUACUAGAUAAAUCCAACCAAG